AGCGAACGCUGGCGGCGUGCUUAACACAUGCAAGUCGUGCGGUAACAGGCGUAGCAAUACGUGCUGACGAGCGGCGAACGGGUGCGUAAUACAUGGGAAUCUGCCCUUUAGUGGGGAAUAACCCGGCGAAAGCCGGGCUAAUGCCGCAUAAGAUCUUCGGAUGAAAGCGGGGGAUCGUAAGACCUCGCGCUGAUGGAUGAGCCCAUGUCGGAUUAGCUAGNGGUGAGGUAACGGCUCACCAAGGCUUCGAUCAGUAGCCGUCCUGAGAGGGAGCACGGCCACACUGGGACUGAGACACGGCCCAGACUCCUACGGGAGGCAGCAGUGGGGAAUCUUGCGCAAUGGGCGAAAGCCUGACGCAGCGACGCCGCGUGAGGGAUGACGG
rnacentral:rRNA from 1 species